rnacentral:rRNA from 1 species
AAUCAACGCUGGCGGCGUGCCUAACACAUGCAAGUCGAACGCGAAAGUCCCGCAAGGGAUGAGUAGAGUGGCAAACGGGUGAGUAACACGUGGGUGACCUGCCUUCGAGUGGGGAUAACGUCCCGAAGGGACGCUAAUACCGCAUGACAUCCUGCCUUUGAACAGGCGGAGAUCAAAGCUGGGGAUCGCAAGACCUCGCGCUUGAAGAGGGGCCCGCGUCCGAUUAGCUAGUUGGUGGGGUAACGGCUCACCAAGGCAACGAUCGGUAGCCGGCCUGAGAGGGCGGACGGCCACACUGGGACUGAGACACGGCCCAGACUCCUACGGGAGGCAGCAGUAGGGAAUUGUUCGCAAUGGGCGCAAGCCUGACGACGCAACGCCGCGUGGAGGAUGAAGACCUUGGUCGUAACU